CCACUUUUUGCUCAUCCCUCUCAAAGCAUUAGACAGGGGAAAUGCUUCAAUUUCUUUUGUUUUCAGCAGUUUUGGGAGGUAAAUCCAUCCUUUUAAUUAAAGGCAGCUGGUAUAUUCUGGGUGUUAAUAACAUGCCACAGGUCUCUUAAAAUGCCUCUUUUUUCUAGGUGUCCAAUCAGCAGUCCAGCUGGUGGAGUCUGGAGGAGAUGCCAAAAGGCCUGGAGAGUCCAUUCGCCUCUCCUGUCAAGCCUCCGGGUUCACCUUUAGCAGCUACUGGAUGAGCUGGGUGAGACAGGCUCCCGGGAAAGGCCUGGAAUGGCUGGGAGAAAUAAAUGCAGCUUCAUCUACCAUAAACUACUCGAACAAAGUGAAGGGACGUUUCACCAUCUCCAGGGACAAUUCAAACAGCCUCCUCUAUCUGCAAAUGAACAGCCUGGAAGCUGAAGACACGGCUGUGUAUUACUGCGCAAGAGUCACAG